GUACACUCCUGCGGGAGGCAGCAGUGGGGAAUUUUGGACAAUGGGCGAAAGCCUGAUCCAGCCAUGCCGCGUGCAGGAUGAAGGCCUUCGGGUUGUAAACUGCUUUUGUACGGAACGAAACGGCCUUUUCUAAUAAAGAGGGCUAAUGACGGUACCGUAAGAAUAAGCACCGGCUAACUACGUGCCAGCAGCCGCGGGAAUACGUAGGGUGCAAGCGAUAAUCGGAAUUACUGGGCGUAAAGCGUGCGCAGGCGGUUAUGUAAGACAGUUGUGAAAUCCCCGGGCUCAACCUGGGAACUGCAUCUGUGACUGCAUAGCUAGAGUACGGUAGAGGGGGAUGGAAUUCCGCGUGUAGCAGUGAAAUGCGUAGAUAUGCGGAGGAACACCGAUGGCGAAGGCAAUCCCCUGGACCUGUACUGACGCUCAUGCACGAAAGCGUGGGGAGCAAACAGGAUUAGAUACCCGAGUAGUCCCAUGAU
rnacentral:rRNA from 1 species